AGCAGCGCAGGGUUUAGCUGCCUGGGACGGCAUCCCGGCGACCUUAAAAAAGCAUGGUUUUAACACUCUUCCUCCGUUUGACGUCGAAAAUUGUAUCUAAACAUAAAUUAAUAGAUUUUACAGGCCCAUAUUCCUUCUUUGUCAGUUAGUCUAUGCCAAAUCUUAUAUGGAAGUUUUGGGCUCGCACUUUAUUUCCAAGGAAAUCUUCGCGCAAGUCUGCAGUGCACAAAGAUGCAGAAGAGACUUCACCAUCCGUGCCACCCCCAAAGGGAGCGCAGUCACAAGCACGGAAGUCCAUUUUGUCGUGGACGACGAUAUAUCCGGCCAUUACAGAAUACCGGGAUAAAACCGGAUGUGUAGUUUUCGAUGAUUUAGAUUCUGAUGAUCACUGCCUACAGAAGAAGAUUACGACAGUUAAAGCGACUUCCAAAUGGUGAAUGGAUGUGGAGAGCAGAUGUGCUACUGCUUGGAAGAUUUCAUACUUGGUCACCGGCUAUCUUGCAUAUUGAUAGCAGAAAAUUGCUGAUAAUUGAAAACAAACAUGUGGCUGUUAUAAUACCAAUCCUGGAAGUAAAACAGAAAUACCGCAUUCUUGCUGGCCCGAAAUCUCAGAUAACUGCCGACUGUGGAUCAUUUCCCAUAGAAGUACGCUUGCACUUAAAUCGGCGGCUUGGAGAACCGUCGCUCGUUUCGAAAUUAAAUUGGACAGCAGCACUCAAAGAUGCCGAAUUCGCCAAAUGAUUUCUCAGUUCCGCAGUCUGUCAAGAUUCACUGUACAACUAACAUUUUGAUUCUCGCUGAUGAAAUCAAUAAUUAAAAAAUUUUAAUAAAAGUGAUUGCUCUAUUAAAAGUGUACAGUACUGUACUGCACUCAGUGUUCUGCUACCCUGCACUUCAGUGUCCAUUUAAAUUUUAUUUUGCAGUGCCGGCGGACGUACAGUACGUUGUAUGAGCCCAUUCAGCUCACUGUUCACGAUUCACAUACGCGACCUGCAACUGCGUACAGUACUUGGUGAA